UAGAAUAUAGUAUAGUGGAAGUAUUGGGAGUUUUGAUCUCCCUGGGGCAGGUUCAAGUCCUGUUUUUCUAA
rnacentral:tRNA from 1 species